rnacentral:rRNA from 1 species
CUGGCUCAGGAUGAACGCUAGCGACAGGCUUAACACAUGCAAGUCGAGGGGCAGACAUAAAAGUAGCAAUACGUUGGUGCGACCGGCGCACGGGUGAGUAACGCGUAUGCAACCUACCUAUCAGAGGGAAUAACCCGGCGAAAGUCGGACUAAUACCGCAUAAAACAGGGACACCGCAUGGUGAUAUUUGUUAAAGAAAUUCGCUGAUAGAUGGGCAUGCGUUCCAUUAGGUAGUUGGUGAGGUAACGGCUCACCAAGCCGACGAUGGAUAGGGGAACUGAGAGGUUGGUCCCCCACACUGGUACUGAGACACGGACCAGACUCCUACGGGAGGCAGCAGUGAGGAAUAUUGGUCAAUGGGCGAGAGCCUGAACCAGCCAAGUCGCGUGAAGGAAAAGAAGGAUCUAUGGUUCGUAAACUUCUUUUGCAGGGGAAUAAAGUGCAGGACGUGUCCUGUUUUGUAUGUACCCUGAGAAUAAGGAUCGGCUAACUCCGUGCCAGCAGCAGC